UACAGAGGUGGCAAGCGUUGUUCGGAAUUACUGGGCGUAAAGGGCGCGUAGGCGGUCCUGUAAGUCCUGUGUGAAAUCCCCCGGCUCAACUGGGGAAUUGCACGGGAAACUGCGGGGCUUGAGUUCGGGAGAGGGAAGCGGAAUUCCGGGUGUAGCGGUGAAAUGCGUAGAUAUCCGGAGGAACACCGGUGGCGAAGGCGGCUUCCUGGACCGACACUGACGCUGAGGCGCGAAAGCAUGGGGAGCGAACAGG
rnacentral:rRNA from 1 species